rnacentral:rRNA from 1 species
GCUUGGGAAUAUGCCUUGAGGUGGGGGACAACAGUUGGAAACGACUGCUAAUACCGCAUAAUGUCUACGGACCAAAGUGGGGGACCUUCGGGCCUCACGCCUUUAGAUUAGCCCAAGUGAGAUUAGCUAGUUGGUGAGGUAAGAGCUCACCAAGGCGACGAUCUCUAGCUGGUUUGAGAGGAUGAUCAGCCACACUGGGACUGAGACACGGCCCAGACUCCUACGGGAGGCAGCAGUGGGGAAUAUUGCACAAUGGGGGAAACCCUGAUGCAGCCAUGCCGCGUGUGUGAAGAAGGCCUU